CAGUAGCCGCGGUAAUACAGAGGGUGCGAGCGUUAAUCGGAUUUACUGGGCGUAAAGCGUGCGUAGGCGGCUUCUUAAGUCGGAUGUGAAAUCCCUGAGCUUAACUUAGGAAUUGCAUUCGAUACUGGGAAGCUAGAGUAUGGGAGAGGAUGGUAGAAUUCCAGGUGUAGCGGUGAAAUGCGUAGAGAUCUGGAGGAAUACCGAUGGCGAAGGCAACCAUCUGGCCUAAUACUGACGCUGAGGUACGAAAGCAUGGGGAGCAAACAGGAUUAGAUACCCCGGUAGUCCCUGUCUCUUAUAC
rnacentral:rRNA from 1 species